CUCCCCAAAAAGUUCCUUUUGAAAGUUUCUUAAUAGUAUCUCCCUCUCCAUCUCUUUGAUAGUAUCAGGAGGUACUAUCAAAGAGAUGGAGAGGGAGAUACUAUUAAGAAAUAAUUCCUCACCUUAAGGAAUCUCUUAUAAUU
rnacentral:miRNA from 1 species